UUGCCCUAGUAACGGCGAGUGAAGCGGCAACAGCUCAAAUUUGAAAUCUGGCUCUUUUAGAGUCCGAGUUGUAAUUUGCAGAGGGCGCUUUGGCUUUGGCAGCGGUCCAAGUUCCUUGGAACAGGACGUCACAGAGGGUGAGAAUCCCGUACGUGGUCGCUGGCUAUUGCCGUGUAAAGCCCCUUCGACGAGUCGAGUUGUUUGGGAAUGCAGCUCUAAAUGGGAGGUACAUUUCUUCUAAAGCUAAAUAUUGGCCAGAGACCGAUAGCGCACAAGUAGAGUGAUCGAAAGAUGAAAAGCACUUUGGAAAGAGAGUCAAACAGCACGUGAAAUUGUUGAAAGGGAAGCGCUUGCAGCCAGACUUGCUUACAGUUGCUCAUCCGGGUUUUUACCCGGUGCACUCUUCUGUAGGCAGGCCAGCAUCAGUUUGGGCGGUAGGAUAAAGGUCUCUGUCACGUACCUCCUUUCGGGGAGGCCUUAUAGGGGAGACGACAUACUACCAGCCUGGACUGAGGUCCGCGCAUCUGCUAGGAUGCUGGCGUAAUGGCUGUAAGCGGCCCGUCUUGAAACACGGACCAAGGAGUCUAACAUCUAUGCGAGUGUUUGGGUGUCAAGCCCGAGCGCGUAAUGAAAGUGAACGGAGGUGGGAACCCGCAAGGGUGCACCAUCGACCGAUCCUGAUGUCUUCGGAAGGAUUUGAGUAAGAGCAUGGCUGUUGGGACCCGAAAGAUGGUGAACUAUGCUUGAAUAGGGUGAAGCCAGAGGAAACUCUGGUGGAGGCUCGCAGCGGUUCUGACGUGCAAAUCGAUCGUCAAAUUUGGGCAUAGGGGCGAAAGACUAAUCGAACUAUCUAGUAGCUG
rnacentral:rRNA from 1 species